UACGUAGGGGGGCUAGCGUUGCUCGGAAUCACUGGGCGUAAAGCGCACGUAGGCGGCUUUCUAAGUCAGGGGUGAAAUCCUGGAGCUCAACUCCAGAACUGCCUUUGAUACUGAGGAUCUUGAGUUCGGGAGAGGUGAGUGGAACUGCGAGUGUAGAGGUGAAAUUCGUAGAUAUUCGCAAGAACACCAGUGGCGAAGGCGGCUCACUGGCCCGAUACUGACGCUGAGGCACGAAAGCGUGGGGAGCAAACAGG
rnacentral:rRNA from 1 species